GCAGUUUGGUUAUUUCAGUUGUUUGGUUGUUCCAUUACACAUAUGGCAGAAUGCAGCUACAAUCUCCUUCCAAAGCGGUAUGUUUGUGACUUUGGAAAACUCCUGGGAGUUGUGAUUUCAGUAUGCCUGAGUGUGUGAAUGGAUACAGGUGGCUAGGUGGCUGAAGGUCUGUUUUCUUCACACUGCGUUUAAUGAUACAUCUAUAAUCUACUCAAAUUCUCAGUGUCAUCUCAGCUCAUGGUGGCCGUGGAGGCACUGUUACCAACAGGAGCCAGGAAUAGCUUGCAUUGUAGCUACUGCACAAAAAAACUGCUUUGUGCUUUUCACUGACAAGAUCUUCAUAGGCUGUGGCCCAGAGAAAUGUGCUACAGGGAGAGGAGAGAAGGCUGCAGAAGCCAUCCUCUUUCCUUCAGCUGACAGUGAAAAGCAGAUUUCUUGAUUGUAUGCAAAGGAUAUUGGAAAUGAUAAACUACAGUGGAAUUAUUCAAGAUGUGGGGUAAUCUUUAAGCAGAAAAUACACUGGCAGGUUGGUUUUGCUUUUUUUUUUUGAAAGCCUAGUUCAAAGAGUAUGCAGGCAUAUAAU
rnacentral:lncRNA from 1 species